GGUGGCUCAAUGGUAGAGCGCUUGCCUUGCAUGCAUGAGGCCGUGGGUUCGAUUCCUCACCACCA
rnacentral:tRNA from 1 species